GUGUUGUUUGCUACUUGCCGCUGUUGCUGCAUGCUGCUGGCCACUUGUUGCUUGUCGUUGAUGCUCAAUGAUGUUAGCCGUGACCUGCCUGUAGAUGAGAGAAAGAGAGAUUGAUUUGCUAGUGCAAGUAUCUAAUGAGCCAGAUGCCAGCUGGUUUGAUCUUUUCAGCAAACGCUAUUGGGAAGUUGUGAGUGUGGGAGCGACACUGUUUUUGUUUCAGUAACUUGCUGGCAUAAAUGUUGUCGUGUACUACUCUACGUCCAUGUUCCACAGUACAGGCCUUGCAUCUAAUGUUGCAGCGAGUGCUCUUGUUCGGUGAUGCCAAUGUUUUUGGCACCAUGAUUGCAUCUCCACUGAUGGUCAAGCAAGGAAGGAAGAGCCUUCUCAUAACAAGAUUAUCUGGAAUGGCGCGUCGAUGUUACUCUUGUCAUUGUCCUUCACCUGGAAGGCUUUAGCACCUUAUUAUGGCACUCUUGCUGUUGUUGGCACUGUCCUGUAAGUG